CGGGAACCAACCCCGGCGUCUACCAGAGUCCGAGAGCGCAACUCGAGGCGCUCCUCUUGGCUCCUGAUUGUAGGUUUAAGUCCAGAUUUAACGCCUCCACGGGGAUAGUACACGAGAUUAAUGGUUUGGGUUUUGUUCGCUUCCAUUGAGCUUUUAUUUUAAAAUGUAAUUGGUCGCAGAGACAGAGAGAGAAAACUGACCAAAUUUGCUGUCUCCGAAGCCUCUCAGUUCAGCUCUGCAUUUAAACCAAUGUCUGCUUGGCGAAGAGCGCCAACCUUCCCGCCUCACCCUCACCGCCACACUUACUGCCUGCGUCCUAAGUAUACACGCGCUUCCCUGCCCAACGCCCUCCCAGUCUCACAGACCCACAACCACGCACACCGCCCCGGGUCCCGUAAAUUCUGGACGGGGUGCCGUGAGGGUCAAUUUCGCCGCCUAGUCGUCCCUCAGUGGCCGCAGAUUCCUCUCCACCUCAUCCCCAGGCGCUCCUGGAAAAGGCCCCAGAGGCCCCAGGAAGUGGCUUUCACGGUACCACAGGUUUCUCUUCCGAGAGCGCCUUGAGGAUCAGCCCGAAAGCAGGGACGCUGCCUGGGAAACUGGAGAUGGAGCGAGUUCUGCCAACCCUCCCCAGCCGCGCUGCCAAUGGCCCCCUCUCCUGCGCCCCCUUUCCUCCAGCCGCCUCUCGGUUCAAAGCCCCACAUCGCCUUGCUACCCGACGUUCCCGCGUGGCUCGCGCGGCCCAGGACCCCAGCCUUCCGGGCGGGCGUGUUCAGCUGCUAUAGAUCCCGGGAGCGGCGACCGCCCCUGGCCGCUUCCCUCCUUGCCCACCGCGCCUUUGUUCCGCCUAGGACCCCCAGAAAAGCGCGGUGAGGCCGUGAAAGGAGGCGCUUGGGCGCCGGGCUGCAGGAAUGCCAGCGGGUCCCUGAAGGAAGAGCAGGGAGCGAGCCGGUGCGUCCUGGACCCUGCGGGACCCGGAGACCACGCAAACUCCGUAGAGACACGGAGACAGUCCGUGGCACCGGGCUCUGGAGAGACGACUUCCUGACUUCAGCGGUGUGAAGAUGGUACAAUACUUUUUGGUGCUGACAUUCAGCUGUCCCCCAGGCAGGUUCGCUGAUAUCCCUGCUGGUGGAGAGGGGCUGGGGGCUGUCUGGAAAUAUAGCUCUGCUGACAGGGUGGCAGAGGAUUUGGGGUCCAAUCGCUGUUCAAAUUAGACUUGGCAGUCUUUACCUCGGAGGCCUCAGGAGUCUCAGGGGUCUCAGUAGGAGAGAAGUUACAGAAACUUAGAACACAGGAAGGCAGAUGUCGGGGGCUCCUUGUCUCAGUCCUUGUACUGCCAUGCUAAAGCAAAGCCCAGGGAUAGUAGAAAGAGAUCCCAGAGAGCAGGGCUGUGAGGUUCCAGGUGGGAUCUUGGCCCUGGCUCCUGGGAGAUUAAGAAUUCCUCUGCAAGUUUUGGAAAGUCCUACAAGAGCCAUUUAUUCAUAAUCUUUGGGCAGUAAAUGCGACCUCUUUUCACUGCUCAGUGGCUGGUAGGGGAGCAUUUCCAGCUUGUCUGGCCCUCAUUUGGGAGUCUAUCAUUUUCUUGCUCAUGUUCCAGUUUGGACUUAUAGAUGAAAACCCCAAACUUCCCAGCGCUUGUGUUUUUCUUUUCUCUCAGGCCAUUCAUAAUCUAGCCAACAUUGUAGGCCAUUGGCCCACACACAUUUUGAAAGGUGAGCCAGCAGGCCUGUUCCUGUGUGCAAGGUCGUUUUCAUCCGGGCUCAAGGGAGGAUAUAGUUUCCCCUUAAAGGAGAGAAGCAGGAAACGAUUUCUAUGAAUCUUUUAACGAAGGAUUUACUACUAAUUUGAUAAGUUCAAUGCUCUUUUUACUCAUUCUGAGUGAAUAACGUUGUCAGUCAACCCAAGCGGCUGCCGAACCUAUAAAAAUGUGUCCUUUGGUCUCCCUGUUUAACACAUGCAGGGGCUUGGCCCUGCCUCUGACAGACGGGAGGAGUAGAAACAUUCCAGAGAUCAGGUCUCAGAGUGUUAUCUCUUCCUCCAUCCCAAAUCCUCACCCUCCAUUUUAUCUUUCUUUGCUACAAAUGCAGAGACCUCCUAGGGAAGUGUGAAAGGAUGGGUUUUAAUCAGGUUUAGAGAAGGAAGGGGAAUAAGUUGAACCCAAAGAAAGAUGGGGACAGUUGGAAUUUUUUGAUGAUGCUUUGUUAUACCUCUCAUGUGUUGUAUAUUAUAUCCUACAAAUUAUGCAUUUAUUGCAAGAAUCUACAGUGUAUAUGCGGCAUUUGCCAAAUGCUGCUUGGCCAAAA
rnacentral:lncRNA from 1 species